rnacentral:misc_RNA from 1 species
UUCUAGCCCCGAUUGGAGCUUUGUCUGAGCUCAUUUUCUGUAUUUUGGCUGCGGCAGCUUCGCUGCCGCAGCCAAAAUACAGAAAAUAGCGAGUGCGGAAAGCGGGAAACAGC